rnacentral:rRNA from 1 species
UACGAAGGGGGCUAGCGUUGCUCGGAAUCACUGGGCGUAAAGGGUGCGUAGGCGGGUCUUUAAGUCAGGGGUGAAAUCCUGGAGCUCAACUCCAGAACUGCCUUUGAUACUGAAGAUCUUGAGUCCGGGAGAGGUGAGUGGAAUUCCCAGUGUAGAGGUGAAAUUCGUAGAUAUUGGGAAGAACACCGGUGGCGAAGGCGGCUCACUGGCCCGUUUCUGACGCUCAGGCGCGACAGCGUGGGGAUCAAACAGG